CUUGUUUACGCUGAAUCAGAACCGAAACAGACAGACACGCUGAUAAAAAAAUCAAAAUAUUAUAUAUGAAUUAGACAGGCGAGGUCUCCCAAUCUUUACACGAUGCAGAAUAGACAUAAAUGAAACGAUAUGAAGCUGGAGAUUGUGGAUUCUAUUUUAGAUUGUGAUAGACCAGAUAUUUUUUUAUAAUUUUAUGCAUGUUGCUAUUGUGUAAUUUGACUUAUUCUCUUUCAAAGACUGUUCAGAAAACCCACACACAAAAAAAGCACAUUGUAUUGAGAUGGUUCAUCAUAUGUGAAACAACAUAAAUAAUACUAUUUGUCACAAACAGCAGCUUUUUAUGUAACUUCUGAGUGUUUUCUGUAAAAUAAUAUACAGAGAUCACAUUAUUCCAUACUGCAAGUGUGCAAAAGAUGACUUCAUACUUAUUUAGACAAAAAUUUUAUACAAAAAUGGUAUUAUUCCUUCCUUCAGUUGGAAUAGAAUAACUUUUGCAUAGAUUAGGAUAGAAAGAAAUUUCUGUUUUCCUCUAAUAGCUGACAAGUGGAACAAGCACAAGACAUUGGUCUGAAGUUGCCAGCCCCUUCAAUGCCUGAGUUAUACCAUUUCAAACUUCAGUUUACACAAAUAAAAUAAAAAAGCGCCUUGUUUUUUUCCCUAUUUAUUAUAACACAGACAGCAUAUAUUGUCAUUUUUAUCAAUUUCAACAGUGUUUUAUGUAAUUUCAAAGGGUUUCCUUUGAAAUUAUACCAAACUUUCUGAGCUUACACUGUAGCAUUAGUAUAGGCAGGCAUUCAAAAUUAGGUAGGAAAAUGAAAAACGGAAAUCCCCAAAAUAGCAUUUUUAAAGACUCUGCAGGAGUUGAUGUUGAUGCUGAUAUUUUUGAUGAGCUUGUGAGAACAUCUAAGGUGUCCUUCAAAAUUUUGGAUGGUGAUAACGAUAAAUCGGAUAAUGUUCCACAAGCUGAGACUGAUCUCUCUGAGCCCUCAUGCCCUGAGUCAUCGUUUUCAUCAAUAGAAUCAGAAAGUUCAGAGUCCACAGUGAUUCCACAAUCUUCAAAGGCAUGCAAAAAGCGAUUCUUAGAAGAACCUUCUGACUGCAAUGCGUCAAAAGAUCUAGUUCAUGCAGUGCUACACUUAAAACCAGGAGGCACUGAUAUAUUGAAGGAGUACGAACAAGCAAGUAGCCUGUCUGACAAGACACGAAAGAAGCUGGUAAACAUCCUUGUGGCUGAUAUGGUAGAGAAGUAUGGGAGGAUUCCACCAGUCAGUAUCCGUUUAAGCUAUGCUCUUGGAAUCAUAACCUUGUUCCCCAAUUUGAAGGAUAAGUGCUCACCGACUGGUUAUGAACAUUACUAUGAUCCACGCAGUGGCCAGGGUUACAUUGCCUACAGAUUGAAAACUGUUCAGCGCAACUCUGUAAAUAACUUGAAGGGGGCAUCCAAGGUGGUUUACCAAGAUGGUCCAAAGACUUUGCGCAAGAUAUCUUCAGCAACUGAGCAGCUGUCGAAUGCACAGAAGCUAUAUCCAUGAUGAAGCAUUCAACGGACACACCAGUUAUUAAGGAUAAAAUGAGGACAACAUUCAAGCAGAGUAUGUUGAUACAGGCAGAGUUUGAUACAUGAUCCAGACAAAUCUUCACUCAUCCUUGAUUACUUUCCCCGAUUUUUGGAUACACCAGGCUUGGUAAGAAAUAUAAACAAAAGGUGCAAAAACCUGCACCUGGUGCACAUGUGGAUGACCUUCUGUCUGCUCUGGAGGAGUGUGAUUGUGCUAAGUGUUUUUAUUUAUCUAUAAUAUAUAUAUAUAUAUAUAUAUAUAUAUAUAUAUAUAUAUAUAUAUAUAUAUAUAUAUAUAUAUAUAUAGAUUUUAAUUAAAUGACGAGCGUGCCAUACAUUUGAGAUCAUUUUAGUAACUGCUGAAUGCGCCUCUUUAAAUGGUUUUCUGAUGCUCGUCGCUGUAUUUUAAAUCACAAUUCCAAUGUUUUCAACCUACAUUAGAGCAUUUAAAAUAAAACGAUCUAAAACGUAACUGUGGUGCGUGUGAACCUAGUAUACCAGUCCACUCUGCUGUUAUGCCAAGGAUGUUUUUGCUCAUGUGAAGAGGAUGAUCUUUUCCGUCUAGUUUAAAUAAAAAAUAUUGUAGUUUAACAUUGAUAAAUUGCGAAUAUAGAAACAUUUGGAUAUGUGCAGAACGAGAUGUGAGCAAGAACCUCCAAAUACAUCCAAACCCACGCUCUCUUGUCCUCGUAUGCAAGCACUCAUGCACUGUCAUGAUCUAAUGCACUGUAAAUGCCUGAUUUUUUUAAACAAAUAGGCCUAGCAGAACGCAAAAAUUUAAAAUCGAACAUUUUGCAGAACAAGAUCAAACAAAAAAGUACUGGUCAUAAUACUUGCAUAAAAUGUUUGAUGUGGAAAAAAUUUUUUUUUACUGACUGCACAGCCACAAGCGCCACAGUUAGAUUUGGGAUAAUUUUAUUUUUAAUGCUAUAGUUUCAUUUGAAAACAUUGCAAUUGCGUUUUAAAAUAUAACAACGAGCACCACAAAACCAUUUAAAGAGACUCAUUCAGCAGUCUCCUUGAUGGGAAACAGUCAACAAAGUAAAAUAAUCUAAAACGUAUGGCACGCUCUCUUCAUUUUAUCAAAUUAUCAUUAUCACAUCUAUUCAUUUUAUAGUCCUGCUACUAGCAUUUUAUUCAGACUAAAACCUCUUUAAUUCAGGUGAGAAAGCUUUUUUUCAAAGUGGCUUUUACACACAAUAAUAAUAAUACCGCUGCAGAGGCAUUUUGCAGUAUUAAGGUUAUUAAUUGAUCGUUAAUUUAAACGUCGAUCGAUCAUGGAAAUGAUUGAAAAAUGACAUCCCUAAAUACAAAUUAGUUGGAUGGAAACCUGGCUAUUGUCUGCAUCAAACCAUGCUACCGAACAAAUGUGAUUCACGGUACUGUCUCUCCGAGCGCGGUGCUGUCUGUGAGUGGGGCGGAGUAACGCUGCAGUGUUUGUGAGUGCUGCCAACUUCUCCACCCCAUUUACAGAGUGAAAUUCUCUGACUAAAUUUAACUCCCAAGGACUGUUGUUGAAUCUUCCAAAAGUUUUGACUUUGGUUCCUUCACAAGCGGUAGCAGCACUUUCCACUGCACCAAUAACACGGGGCUGCCGGCCGACGUGCAUGACUUUAAAUCGGCGCUACUAAAAACGUAUAUCGGCCGAGGCGAUAUAUAUAUAAAAAAGACAAUUAUCGGCCCGAUAUAUCGGUCGACCUCUAGUUACUACAUUUCUAUUGCUCAGCAGGAGAGAGUGGCACUGGAACUGCGGGGAACAGAGCCGAAGGUAAGUGUCUGUGGCUGAGUGAUCGUGCGGAGAGUGGAUGAGGUUCUGGGGAAAACACAGACAUCCAAACGCAAACUAACACAGAAGCCAGACGGGGGUAACACAACGACAUGAAACAACGAUCUCACAAACACAAGACGUGAGACAAGCCAUUAUAUAGGAGAUGGGUAAUGAGUGGCAGCUGUUGCUGAUACAAUUAACGGAGACGCCCACAACUAAUCAGUGCAGACGCAGAACACACAGAAUUCACCACAAAGUGUAAACAACCCGAGAUCACGGUUUACCAACCGUGACAAGCUGUUGCAGCCAAUGAUGAACUCUUUAAAAGGCGCACUUUGUCUUUGCCGUGUCGUAUGAUGAGGCCUUGUGCAACUUCUACACGUUCAUUCAAACAACAGUGUAUGGCAUUGAUGUGGGCACUGCCAAGGAAAGUCCAAGGUUCAAGGAAAUCCGAGUGAGAAUUGAAAACACUGAGGUGUGACUCCCCUCCCCCCCAGCGUCUUGCUCAAAUGUUCUCAUGCUUCCUUUGCAAGGUACACCACAGAAGUUGUUCAAGUUUGUUUCAGCAUCUGAAGUUUCAUCAUGGUUUGUACCCAGGGCGUUCAUUACGGUUGAAAUGUGGCGAACCUGGAUGUUCAUCUGUGUUUUAUAAAUAUUAUGGGUUCAAGAAACAUAUCGUUGGAGUCCACAGAGACUGUGUAGCCUCAGGUACUGCUGAGAAUUUUUGCAGUAGUAUCACUGUUUCUGAUGCCCUAAGUGAGGAUCCUCCAGUCACUUUUCAGACUCCUGUUGAAAAUCGGCAAGUAACUGAUAUGUGUAGUGCUAUUGUUGCUCAAGUACAAGCAGCUGGAGUUUCUCUGAAAGUACUGUUCAAUGUUUAGUUGGUUCAAUGAAAGAACUUGUAAGUGAUGUUCAUGCUCAAGCAAGAGACACUGUUCUAAAAUGUCUUUCAUCAGAGGUACCUGGGCAAACUCUAGACAAAGUUAAAAACUGUUUUAGCCAGCUCGAAAAUCCUUUCUCUUGCCUUAAUACUGAAAAAAGAGGCAAAGACACUUUGAGAAAAAAUGGAAAAUCGUGGAACCAGUGGAAUAUGUUCUUGGUGUGCAUUAUGAUGUGUGCAAAAAUAAAUCUACAGGCUUAUACAGUCAAGUUCCUGUCAAUGACAAAUGUAUCUAUGUGCCCAUUUUAGGAACUCUCGAGUCUAUGUUUACAAAUUCUGAACUUUGCCACUUUUUCCAGCAGGUUAAAAGUCAUCAAGAUGGUAUUUAAAAAGACAUUAAUGAUGGUUCUUCAAAAAGCACAUGUUAUUUGGUCAAAAAGAGGAUGCUCUUCAAAUACAGUUAUACAGUUACAAUGAUUUUGAAAUCCAUGUGUAUUCCAAAAAAGGAAUACACAAACUUGGCUGUGUUUAUUUUAUUUUAAGAAAUUUGCCCCCCAAGAUCAAUUCUGUUUUAAUGAACAUCCAUCUUGUGGCCCUUUUCCAUUCAGGAGACUUGAAGAAAUAUGGCUUUGAACCAAUCUUACAGCCUCUGGUAAAGGAUCUAAAAAUUCUCGAGUUGAAGGGAAUUAAUGUUCCCUUCUCAGAUACUAUGUUACAGGGUUCUGUCAUCCAGGUUACUGGUGACAAUUUAGCUUUACAUGGAUUGCUUGGCAUGGUUGAGUCGUUCAGUGCAACCUACUGUUGUCAGUUUUGCUUAGUGAGGAUGACCCAGAUUUGAUCAUUCGAACAAAGGAGCUAUAUUCAGAACAUUGCAAUGCUCUGGCACAAGAUCCCACUCUUGCACCACUGUUUGGCCUUAAGAGAAGUUGUCCACUCAAUUCAUUACAGUUUUUUCAUUCUUCAGAGAAUUAUGCUGUUGACAUUAUGCACAAUUUGCUUGAAUGGGUUGUGCAGUAUGAGUUAAAACUGCUUUUUCAGUACUUUGUUAAAAACUGCAUUUCAUUGGACACACUUUCGGAAAGGAUUCAGAGCUUCAACUAUGGAUACAUUGAAAGAAAGAAUAGACCAAGUGGAGUUAAAAUUAAUGAUGGCAGCAAGGACCUUGGCCUCAAUGCUAUUCAUUCAAGGUGCCUUCUGCGCAAUACCCCCUUAAUCUUUGGAGAUCUAGUUGACACGGACAAUGGUUACUGGAAUCUUAUUCUACUUUUGAAUCAGAUAGUGAACAUUGUCUUCUCACCAGUUGUAACACAGGUUAUGAAUUAUUUUUUGAAACAUUUAAUUUCUGAUCAUCAUAAACUUUUUAAGUCCAUAUUUCCUGAAAAAAGAUUGAUUCCAAAACACCAUCUAAUGAUCCAUUAUCCUAAAUGCAUUCGGAAAGUGGGUCCACUUAUACACAUGUUGUGCAUGAGAUACGAAGGGAAGCAUAACUUUUUUAAGAAGUCUGUGAAGAACUUUAAAAACAUAACCAAAACACUGGCCAAGAAACAUCAACAUCAGUUGGCUUUUCAUUGAAAGUUUUUAUUUUAAAAGAUUUCAGUUUGGUCCCUUUAAUGAAGUCUCUGUUUGCACUCUGGAGGGUAAUGAGCUUUUAACUGAAACUUGAAAUUUACCCACUCUCUCCACUACAACCUGGGUAAAAAACUAUGGAACUGAAUACCAAGUUGGAAUGUACGUUUGCUCUGCUGUUGAAAAUGAAAUGCCUGUUUUUAAUAAGAUUAUCAGUAUUAUUGUAAAAGAUGGACAAGCUUUUCUUUUGGCCAGUAAUGUAUUACAGGGUGUUUUGAUGAGCAGGUGCAUGCAUUCUGUGUUGAGGAGGUGGGAAAUAUUUUCACUCUCAUUUGCAUGGAUGAUUUUAUACUAUAGACCUUAUGACAGGCAGUAUUCAUAUGACAGUGACGAGAGAACUUACAUUGUUCCCUGUUGUGGUUUUGUUUCAGAUUGGAAUUAAUUGCAAAUUGUAAUUUUUUUAAAUGCACUGAAAUGCAGUGUUUGAAUGUUAAAUGUGGUGUUUUUGCAGUAUUUUCUACAAAUAUGUCCUGCCAUUUAAUUGUAGAAACAAUCAAAUAUUAAUAAAAGCGCUAUUAAAAUCACCA
rnacentral:lncRNA from 1 species